rnacentral:rRNA from 1 species
UACGAAGGGGGCUAGCGUUGCUCGGAAUUACUGGGCGUAAAGCGCACGUAGGCGGUUUUCUAAGUCGGGGGUGAAAUCCUGGAGCUCAACUCCAGAACUGCCUUCGAUACUGGAGAGCUCGAGUCCGGGAGAGGUGAGUGGAACUGCGAGUGUAGAGGUGAAAUUCGUAGAUAUUCGCAAGAACACCAGUGGCGAAGGCGGCUCACUGGCCCGGUACUGACGCUGAGGUGCGAAAGCGUGGGGAGCAAACAGG